UGACAUAAAAUCAGGCAAGGGACAUAAUAUUCUUCUUGUGCCAUCUUCUUCAUGCUUGUGCAUGUGGUGAGAGACAUGAAUAUUCCCUGCCCCUCUGUGUUUUUUUUUUUCAUGGACUGAUAUCUUAUCUCAGUUUCCUCUUUCCUUAAUAGCUUUCCUUGUGUUUUCUAUUGAUAUGCAACAAAUAUGCUCUGAAGGAUAUGAGCAUUGUGGAUUUCAUAGAAAAAUUAACUUCACCAGAUUAUAU
rnacentral:misc_RNA from 1 species